GAUGAACGCUGGCGGCGUGCCUAAUACAUGCAGGUCGAGCGAACAGACGAGGAGCUUGCUCCUCUGACGUUAGCGGCGGACGGGUGAGUAACACGUGGAUAACCUACCUAUAAGACUGGGAUAACUUUGGGAAACCGGAGCUAAUACCGGAUAAUAUAUUGAACCGCAUGGUUCAAUAGUGAAAGACGGUUUUGCUGUCACUUAUAGAUGGAUCCGCGCCGCAUUAGCUAGUUGGUAAGGUAACGGCUUACCAAGGCAACGAUGCGUAGCCGACCUGAGAGGGUGAUCGGCCACACUGGAACUGAGACACGGUCCAGACUCCUACGGGAGGCAGCAGUAGGGAAUCUUCCGCAAUGGGCGAAAGCUUGACGGAGCAACGCCGCGUGAGUGAUGAAGGUCUUCGGAUCGUAAAACUCUGUUAUUAGGGAAGAACAAAUGUGUAAGUAACUAUGCACGUCUUGACGGUACCUAAUCAGAAAGCCACGGCUAACUACGUG
rnacentral:rRNA from 1 species